AGCCCGGGAAAGGAAGAGGUGGAGUCGGGCAGGCGGUUCCUGGUGUAGAUAGCGGCGCCAAAGGAGAGGGGGCGGAGGAGGCAGGCAGGCACGAAGACUACAGGUCCCAUCAUGCGUUUUUUGUGCGGCGGCGCAAUACUGCUCCGCCGACUCAUUUUUGGAACUACUCAGCCAUUAAUGUAGCAACAGUGUUAACACUUUUAUUGUUACACUGGCGAGAAACAAGAAAAACCCUUCAAGCAAAGACUUCAACAAACAUUAUGGUUCGCUGAAAACGAUCCUCUUCUUCAAAAUCAUGAAGGACAAUCUGAUGGUUGUACGACUCUCUUCCUAUUAUCCACUCAAAACCCUGAGAUCAUUUGAGACUGUGGCUAAAUUUCUGUGCUGUGCUUCUAAGAGGAGAAGAAUGUUUCAAAUGCUGGUGUAAUGGAUCUUUUCCUGCUUGCUGAUUGCGCAUGUUUAUGUUGUUAUGCCAAUAAAGGUUGUUAUUGUUGUUGA